rnacentral:rRNA from 1 species
UACGUAGGGUGCGAGCGUUGUCCGGAAUUAUUGGGCGUAAAGAGCUCGUAGGCGGUUUGUCGCGUCGGCCGCGAAAACUCCAGGCUUAACUUGGGGCUUGCGGUCGAUACGGGCAGACUUGAGUUCGGCAGGGGAGACUGGAAUUCCUGGUGUAGCGGCGAAAUGCGCAGAUAUCAGGAGGAACACCGGUGGCGAAGGCGGGUCUCUGGGCCGAUACUGACGCUGAGGAGCGAAAGCGUGGGGAG